UCUGGAUAAAAUUUGUCUGGCGAGAAAUCAAUGAACUGUGGGUAGAUGAGCUAGAGAUGAUGAUGUUAUUGUACAUUUGAUCAGUUAAGCAGGACAGAAGUUUUAUGGCUGUCAUUAUUGCCUUAUUUGCUGUUUGGUGUGAGAGUGAAGAAUGUAUGGUAUACUGAUUAACUGAGAAGAGACAGCUGGGCCGGAUGGUCAAGAGAGGAGUGGAAGAGUCGAGAGGCACCAACUUUAUUAUCAGAAUCACCCAGAUGGCAGAUUGACGACCCUAAAGCAAAGGCCUACACCCCAGGGACAAAAUAAGGAGUUGAACCAGAGGGAUGAGAGAAGUAAAAGCUGUGGAUCCUCCUGGUAACAACUCAAAAUAAUGCUGAUUAAGAACAACCUUGAAUAACUUGUGAUUGACAGCUCUGGUGUGACACAGCAAAGUCCAUAGGCUUGUAUGGGAACUUAUUACUAUAAAAGAAGGGUGUAUUGCCAUGGGACUUUAGGUUCGUUCUGCAUCAACACUGGAGCUUCGAACGCGUUCGACAGAGACCCAGCUCCCCUCCCCCAUGUGCAGUUUCAGCUGGCCACUGCAACUGACCGAGCAACACUAAGGACUGAAAUAUGGAGUCCCAGCACCCAAUACAUGAACAUGGUUACAGAGGUCAUCAGUCUACUGAGACCCACAGCAAGAAAGAGAUUGUGAUUAAAAGCAGCACCUAGAAACAGAGCAGAUAAGCAGCAUGGAGGGACUCAGAGUACAGGGACUGCUAGAUUUUCAGACAAAAAACUUUGUACAGCAGUGGAAGAAAGAACAGAGUCUGUACACGGAACUGACAUGGGCUAUAAAGAUGAGGAAAUGAAGGUAAAGCUUUUUCACCAUCUCACUGGGGGAAAAGAUGAGAAGUGGAUGAGACAACUGUUGCCAAGAAUAAUGCCCCACAAUUAUGGAACUUUUCACAAAGGUGUUUGAUGAGUACCAUGUCCCCAGACAGAAUGAAACUAUAGUGAGAAACUGAUUUUGUACCCAAAACCAGGAAGCAGAAGAGGGAAUAUAGUUACAUUAUAUUAAUAUUAAGUAAUUCUAAAACUCUCCUGAUGUAUCACUAUGGAAAUUGUUAAGAGA